rnacentral:lncRNA from 1 species
CUCUUGUCUUUUUUUUUGUGUUAGCUCUUUGGUUGUUAAGGUAAAAUGCCACUCACGGUCACUACAUGCAACUACAUAAAUAGCUAACUUCUCCAUUGUGGCAAACCGGCAAUAUGAAGCAUUUCAAAUUGUAAAGCCUCCCAACCCAUUUCAUCAGCGAGAGAGAAUAAUGUGAAAGGGUGAGAGUGGCCAGAGAGGGAAUGAGAUGCAAUGGGAAUAUAAGGUGAAGUUAGAAUGAUUUUGGCUGUCCAUGCCAUAGACUCAACCUUAUUGAUCCAUCGCAACCACUGAACCUGUUAUUAAGCAGCUCCGGUGGCAGGCAUCAAAAUCAGACCGAGGGGAAAUGCACAGUUUCGGUAUAUAGCGAACUGAACACGACGAAGAACAGUGAAUGAUCGAAAAAUCAAGCCCCGUUGAAAGGUUGAACCAUGCAGCACGCAGUGCGGCGGAGAAGAUGUAGGUCUAUCCUGAUUGCUUGUUAACUUGUUUUCUUUUUUUUUCCGGGAGAAAUGAUGCAAUGUGACAAUGCAGGUCUUGAAGCGAAUUCCACGGAAUCAAACUGUGUUAGUUCGUUUUGAUUUAGGACUAAAAGGUCUGCUGUGUUAUAUUCCCCAUUUUGUUCGUUCCUACUGGAGAUAUGCUGACUAGGAUCUAUAAAUCGUUAAGGAAACUUUCUUAAAAAAUAUAUGAACGAGUGGCACCGGCUUAGUGGAGCAAAAAAAAUAAGUGGAGAUUGGCGGUGCUCUACAUGAUGAUUUCACGACCAGGCAAUGAUGUGAACAUGACUCAAUAUGAUUUCAACGAUUUAAGAUUAUACACAUACAAACAACAUGAGGGAUUAGGACUUUAUUAAUGUUGUGAGAUGGUACAUAAAUCGCAGAUGUAAAGUAACAUGACUUAAACCAACA